rnacentral:rRNA from 1 species
GCAAGGAAUUUUGUGCAAUGGGCGAAAGCCUGACACAGCAACGCCGCGUGAGGGAUGAAGGCCUUCGGGUUGUAAACCUCUUUUCUUAGGGAAGAAUAAUGACGGUACCUAAGGAAUAAGCUUCGGCUAACUACGUGCCAGCAGCCGCGGUAAUACGUAGGAAGCGAGCGUUAUCCGAAUUUACUGGGCGUAAAGUGGGCGUAGGUUGCCUUUCAAGUCGGAUGUGAAAUCUCCUGGCUUAACUGGGAGAAGUCAUCUGAUACUGCUAGGCUUGAGGACAGCAAGAGAAGGUGGAAUUCCCGGUGUAGUGGUGAAAUGCGUAGAUAUCGGGAGGAACACCAGUGGCGAAGGCGGCCUUCUGGGCUGUUUCUGACGCUGAGGCCCUAAAGUGUGGGGAGCGAACAGGAUUAGAUACCCGGGUAGUCC